rnacentral:ribozyme from 11 species
GAGAGAAAUCAUGCUGAUUAAGAGGAGUGUGCAGAAACAGCUAAACUAAAUUUUCGUAUGAUUCAUCCUUCUUAACAUUCUCUUGCAAGUUUUUGCUAUUCUUUCUUUCCUUUCUCUCUCUCU